GUUGUCCGGAUUUAUUGGGCGUAAAGAGCUCGUAGGCGGUUUCGUAAGUCGGGUGUGAAAACUCUAGGCUCAACCUAGAGACGCCACCCGAUACUGCGAUGACUAGAGUCCGGUAGGGGAGUGUGGAAUUCCUGGUGUAGCGGUGAAAUGCGCAGAUAUCAGGAGGAACACCAACGGCGAAGGCAGCACUCUGGGCCGGAACUGACGCUGAGGAGCGAAAGCGUGGGGAGCAAACAGG
rnacentral:rRNA from 1 species